UCCGAUUUGUCACCGGCAGUCUCCUAUGAGUCCCCGUCUUUCACGCUGGCAACAUGCGGCGAGGGUUGCGCUCGUUGCGGGACUUAACCCAACAUCUCACGACACGAGCUGACGACAGCCAUGCAGCACCUGUGCACGGACUCCGAAGAGGAACCGAUGUUUCCACCGGCUUUCCCGUGCAUGUCAAGCCCAGGUAAGGUUCUUCGCGUUGCUUCGAAUUAAAGAACAUGCUCCGCUGCUUGUGCGGGCCCCCGUCAAUUCUUUUGAGUUUUAGCCUUGCGGCCGUACUCCCCAGGCGGGACACUUAACGCGUUAACUGCGGCACAGAGGGAUUCGACUCCCCCCACACCUAGUGUCCAUCGUUUACGGCUAGGACUAC
rnacentral:misc_RNA from 1 species